UGAACGCUGGCGGCGUGCUUAACACAUGCAAGUCGCACGAGAACGUUUCAGCUUGCUGAAACUAGUAAAGUGGCGCACGGGUGAGUAACGCGUGGGUAAUCUACCUCCGAAUUGGGGAUAACAUUGCGAAAGCGAUGCUAAUACCGGAUAAUAUCUUAAAAGCUUCGGUUUUAAAGAUCAAAGGUGGCCUCUACAUGUAAGCUUCUGUUUGGAGAUGAGCCCGCGUACCAUUAGCUUGUUGGCAGGGUAAUGGCCUACCAAGGCUACGAUGGUUAGCUGGUCUGAGAGGAUGAUCAGCCACACUGGAACUGACACACGGUCCAGACUCCUACGGGAGGCAGCAGUGAGGAAUUUUGCGCAAUGGGGGAAACCCUGACGCAGCAACGCCGCGUGAGUGAUGAAGGCUUUCGGGUCGUAAAGCUCUGUCAAGUGAGAAGAACCCACAUGGUGAUAAUACCACUAUGUGCUGACGGUAUCACUAAAGGAAGCACCGGCUAACUCC
rnacentral:rRNA from 1 species